AGCCCUUCGGGGCGAAGUAGCUGAUUUCACACUGUCAAGAAAAGCUUCUAUCGAGUUUAAAGGCGCCCGUACCGUAAACCGACACAGGUGGGUGAGGAGAGCAUCCUAAGGCCAGCGAGAGAACUAUUGUUAAGGAACUCGGCAAAAUGACCCCGUAACUUAGGGAGAAGGGGUGCCUGUCUAUGACAGGCCGCAGAGAAUAGGCCCAAGCGACUGUUUACCAAAAACACAGGUUUCUGCUAAGUCGCAAGACGAUGUAUAGGAGCUGACGCCUGCCCGGUGCUGGAAGGUUAAGGGGAUCUGUUAGAGCAAUCGAAGCAGUGAACUUAAGCCCCAGUAAACGGCGGCCGUAACAAUAACGGUCCUAAGGUAGCGAAAUUCCUUGUCGGGCAAGUUCCGACCCGCACGAAAGGCGUAACGAUUUGGGCACUGUCUCAACAAUAGACUCGGUGAAAUUGUAAUCCCGGUGAAGAUGCCGGGUACCUGCGACAGGACGGAAAGACCCCAUGGAGCUUUACUGUAGCUUGACGUUGGGUCUUGGUACUACAUGUACAGGAUAGGUGGGAGACUAUGAAGCAUGGACGCCAGUCUGUGUGGAGUCAUCCUUGGGAUACCACCCUUGUAGUACUGGGAUCCUAACCAUAGGCCUUGAAUCAGGUCUUGGAACACCGUCAGGUGGGCAGUUUGACUGGGGCGGUCGCCUCCUAAAAAGUAACGGAGGCGCUCAAAGGUUUCCUCAGCACGGUCGGAAAUCGUGCGAAGAGUGUAAAGGCAAAAGGAAGCUUGAUUGCAAGGCAUACAGGUCGAGCAAGGACGAAAGUCGGACUUAGUGAUCCGGUGGUACCGCAUGGAAGGGCCAUCGCUCAACGGAUAAAAGCUACCCUGGGGAUAACAGGCUUAUCUCCCCCAAGAGUCCACAUCGACGGGGAGGUUUGGCACCUCGAUGUCGGCUCAUCACAUCCUGGGGCUGUAGUAGGUCCCAAGGGUUGGGCUGUUCGCCCAUUAAAGUGGUACGCGAGCUGGGUUCAGAACGUCGUGAGACAGUUCGGUCCCUAUCCGUCGUAGGCGUAGGAAAUUUGAGAAGACCUGUCCUUAGUACGAGAGGACCGGGAUGGACGUACCUCUGGUGUACCAGUUGUUCUGCCAAGGGCAUGGCUGGGUAGCUAUGUACGGAAUGGAUAAGCGCUGAAAGCAUCUAAGCGCGAAGCCAACUUCAAGAUAAGAUUUCCCACCGUAAGGGUAAGACCCCAGUAAGACUACCUGGUUGAUAGGUCGAAGGUGUAAGUGCAGUAAUGUAUUUAGCUUAUCGAUACUAAUAGGUCGAGGACUUGACCA
rnacentral:rRNA from 1 species